UGGGGAAUUUUGCACAAUGGGGGCAACCCUGAUGCAGCGACGCCGCGUGAUUUAGAAGGCCUUCGGGUUGUAAAAAUCUUUUGUAUGGGAAGAAAAUGACAGUACCAUACGAAUAAGGACCGGCUAAUUACGUGCCAGCAGCCGCGGUAAUACGUAAGGUCCGAGCGUUGUCCGGAAUCAUUGCGCGUAAAGGGUACGUAGGCGGAUAAGCAAGUUAGAAGUGAAAUCCUAUAGCUCAACUAUAGUAAGCUUUUAAAACUGCUCAUCUUGAGGUAUGGAAGGGAAAGUGGAAUUCCUAGUGUAGCGGUGAAAUGCGCAGAUAUUAGGAGGAAUACCGGUGGCGAAGGCGACUUUCUGGCCAUAAACUGACGCUGAGGUACGAAAGCGUGGGUAGCAAACAGG
rnacentral:rRNA from 1 species